rnacentral:rRNA from 1 species
AUACGUAGGGUGCGAGCGUUGUCCGGAAUUACUGGGCGUAAAGAGCUCGUAGGUGGUUUGUCGCGUCGUCUGUGAAAUUCCGGGGCUUAACUACGGGCGUGCAGGCGAUACGGGCAUAACUUGAGUACUGUAGGGGAGACUGGAAUUCCUGGUGUAGCGGUGAAAUGCGCAGAUAUCAGGAGGAACACCGGUGGCGAAGGGGGGUCUCUGGGCAGUAACUGACGCUGAGGAGCGAAAGCAUGGGUAGCGAACAGGAUUAGAUACCCUGGUAGUCCAUGCCGUAAACGGUGGGCGCUAGGUGUAGGGGUCUUCCACGACUUCUGUGCCGUAGCUAACGCAUUAAGCGCCCCGCCUGGGGAGUACGGCCGCAAGGCUAAAACUCAAAGGAAUUGACGGGG